AAGCCCACCUGACACUGGAACCAGAGUCAUGAAGCUCUAGGAACUUAGUUGGGUUGAUACUUGAGGUUGCUUUCAGCAUCAUUGGCCGUAGAUCCUUUUAGAAGGAUAAAAAGAGCUAAAACACUGAGUAUCAUGUUUAAUGAUAAAUGAAAUAAUUAUUUUCUGUGGCUGAUAAUGAAGUAUUGAUUAUCAGCAGUCUUACCCACAAAAGUAUCAAUGAUAUGAUAAAGAGCCUUCAAGGAUUAAAGCAUGGUGGGAAGUAGACCUUGAUCUUUCUGCAACCUCAGUUCUGAAUAUGGUUGGACCUUAUUUGAAACAUGGAACAACUUGAAAUUACGUACUUGGAUGAAGAGCUGUGAAAAUCAUGGGAAAAUCAAGGGAAUCUGUUUAUACUUGGAAUGGUGAAUAAGGAGAGGCUGGGGAAGAUGAAGAAGGAAGCCAUCCUUAUUAACUGCAACAGAGGACUUGUGACUGAUGAGGCUGCUCUUGUCGACCGCUUGAGAGCUAAUCCUAUGUUUCAAGUUGGUCUUGAUGUCUUUGAUGGCUAUAAAUAGUUAUUUUGAUGAUACAAUGUUUGAAUGAUUUUAGUAUUUAUAUAAUAUAUUUUGGUUA